GACGAACGCUGGCGGCGUGCUUAACACAUGCAAGUCGAACGAAGUGGCGAACGGGUGAGUAAGGCGUAAUCAACCUGCCCUUCAGAGGGGGACAACAGUUGGAAACGACUGCUAAUACCGCAUACUGAAGGAGGGGAUUGCGUCUGAUUAGCUAGUGGGUGGGGGAACGGCCCACCAAGGAGAUGAUCAGUAGCCGGUCUGAGGGGGUGAACGGCCACAAUGGGACUGAGACACGGCCCCGACUCCUACGGGAGGCAGCAGUGGGGAAUCUUCCGCAAUGGGGGAAAGUCUGACGGAGCAACGCCGCGUGAGUGAUGACGGCCUUCGGGUUGUAAAGCUCUGUUAAUCGGGACGCGGUACCGGAAUAGAAAGCCACGGCUAACUACGUGCCAGCAGCCGCGGUAAUAC
rnacentral:rRNA from 1 species